rfam:Schistosoma mansoni, Puerto Rico, WGS project CABG01000000 data, contig: 0132
GCACUUCUGGGGAGUCCCACAAUAGAACGAAACGGCCGUCCAGUAU